UUACAGCCAUAUCACAUUGAAAUACCGGUUCUCCUCCAGUCACCGAAGUUAAGCAACGUCGAAUCAGGUUAGUACCUAGAUGGGUGAACACUCGAGAAUACUAGGAGCUGUAA